UUUAUUGUGAUGCCAAAUAUAUAAAAGUAAUUUUUGUUUAUCAAAUGUAUUCACUGCGGAAGGUGCUAUAUUUAUUGAUCCUGGCACCCCAAGUCACUUUCAAAAGCAACUCCGAUGACGUUUUCUCUCUUCAACUUCAGAUUUCUUCUUCUUUCAACAAAGUUUUGAUGUUGAAGGAAGAAAUUGCACGCUAUUGUUGCUGCAGUCAUGGAAAAAGAGUCAAAGAUGUAUGGUUUCACAAGCUUGUGUUAGGACAUUGGGACUAGUAUGAAAUAAUUAAGCUCCUUACGGAUGAUGAUGUUCGCGACAUGGUUGCCUUUUUCCUUCCACUCCCACAUGAUCUCCCAAUGAAGCUUUCAGUGACCCUACAUCCUCCUGAAGUGACAAUUUGGAUGCAACAAACCCAGUUGCUGCCAAUAAUGUCGAUGACUAAAGCUUAGUUCGUUAUGUGUUUAGGGAAGUCUCAAUAGUAUGUUUAGUAAUCUUUAUGAUUAGUAGUUAAUUUCCAUUAAUGACUUCAGUGUGUUUAAUGUAACAAAGUAUUUGUGUUUAAUUGAACUUUUCUUUAAGUACUAA